ensembl:lncRNA
AAAGAAAGGGUGAAUGAAAUUUUUAAAUGAGCUAAAAUUGGUAAGGAACUAUUGCCAUAGAUGACAUUCUGCUUUUCCAAGUAAAUGUAAGUAUUACAUUUUGUCUUUUUGUUUCUUUACCUAGGAAAUAGAAAUUAUACCCAGAGGAGCAAAGAUCUGUGAGCACAAGAGACCACAGGCAAAAAUGAGAGUAGAAAGCAUGCCAGUCGGUUUCCAUGAAAAGAAAGUGAAAGUGAAGUCGCUCAGUCGUGUCCGACUCUUUGCGACCCCAUGGACUGUAGCCCACCAGUCUCCUCCAUCCAUGGAAUUUUCCAGGCAAGAGUACUGGAGUGGGUUGCCAUUUCCUUCUCCAGAAGAUCUUUCUGACUGAGGGAUCGAACCUGGGUCUCCCAAAUUGCAGCAGACGCUUUACCAUCUGAGCCACCAGGGAAGCCCUAUGGUUUCCAUAUAAUGGAUCAAAUUCAAGAAGACUACCUGGUGGGUUAAUUCAGCCUCUUAUCUCCUAGAGAAUGAAAUGUCUGCAUGAGUCCAUCAAUUUUCCUGAGAUACAAAACGUGGAGGUUGAGUUAAAUUGUAAAAUGGAGUUAACUGUCUUAUAUUAGUUUGCUAGGACUGUUGGAACAAAAUACCACAGACGGAGUGGCUUAAACAGAAACUUACUUUCUCAUAGUUCUGGAGGCUAGAAAUUUGAGAUCAAGGUGUCAGCAGGCUUGGUUCCUUCUCAGAGUCAUGAGGGAGGAAUCUGUCCUAGGCAACUUUAUUCGACUUAAAGCUAUCUUGCUCUGUUUUUAUAUUGUCUUCCUUCUGCAUACAUCUAUGUCCCAAUUUGAGGGAGUCUCAUGGGCUCAGAGGUUAUAGCAUCUGUCUGUAAUGCGGGAGACCUGGGUUCGAUCCCUGGAUCGGGAAGAUCCCCUGGAGAUCUUCCCAGGGGAUCCUAGAGGCCACCCACUGUAGUACUCUUGCCUGGAAAAUCCCAUGGAUGGAGAAGCCUGGUGGGCUACAGUCCCAAUUUACUUUCCUUAUAAGGACAUCGGUCAUAUUGGAUUAGAGUCUACCCAUAUGACCUCAGCUUAUUUAAAUUAUCUCUUUAAAGAUGCCAUAUCCAAUUAUAGUUUCAUUCUGAGAUACUGUGGGUUAAGACUUCAUAAGAGGAAUUUGGGGAAGACAUAAAUCAGCUCAAUGCCUCCAUGACACAGAAAUAAUGAAGGGAGAGAGCAGAGACAGCAAGUUGCAGGAAAAGACGUGACUGUGGACAUUCUGACAAAAUGAAACAACCUUGAUUUGCCUACCACCUUAUCUUUGCCUGUUGAUACCCUCUCUUCCAAUUUCUCAGAGAUGAGCAAAGAAUGGGUCUAUUCUCCAUGAAGAGCUUUACAGUCAGGAUAUGUCACUGGCCAGAGUCUUCUGUUAAUAAGAAAAUUGAUUUGAUAAAUUGAAUUCAUUAAACAUGUGUGUGAUUCAAGAUAUUACUAAAGUAUCACAUUAUAAUUUACAUUUAAAAAUAGGGUUAUAGGGGAGGCCAGUGCUUAAUUUGAAGACAUUAUCUGAGUACUAGGCAUGAAUUUAAAUGUG